rnacentral:rRNA from 2 species
UAGCAUGGCGGGUGCUAUAAUGCAGUCGAGCGAACUGAUUAGAAGCUUGCUUCUAUGACGUUAGCGGCGGACGGGUGAGUAACACGUGGGCAACCUGCCUGUAAGACUGGGAUAACUUCGGGAAACCGAAGCUAAUACCGGAUAGGAUCUUCUCCUUCAUGGGAGAUGAUUGAAAGAUGGUUUCGGCUAUCACUUACAGAUGGGCCCGCGGUGCAUUAGCUAGUUGGUGAGGUAACGGCUCACCAAGGCAACGAUGCAUAGCCGACCUGAGAGGGUGAUCGGCCACACUGGGACUGAGACACGGCCCAGACUCCUACGGGAGGCAGCAGUAGGGAAUCUUCCGCAAUGGACGAAAGUCUGACGGAGCAACGCCGCGUGAGUGAUGAAGGCUUUCGGGUCGUAAAACUCUGUUGUUAGGGAAGAACAAGUACAAGAGUAACUGCUUGUACCUUGACGGUACCUAACCAGAAAGCCACGGCUAACUACGUGCCAGCAGCCGCGGUAAUACGUAGGUGGCAAGCGUUAUCCGGAAUUAUUGGGCGUAAAGCGCGCGCAGGCGGUUUCUUAAGUCUGAUGUGAAAGCCCACGGCUCAACCGUGGAGGGUCAUUGGAAACUGGGGAACUUGAGUGCAGAAGAGAAAAGCGGAAUUCCACGUGUAGCGGUGAAAUGCGUAGAGAUGUGGAGGAACACCAGUGGCGAAGGCGGCUUUUUGGUCUGUAACUGACGCUGAGGCGCGAAAGCGUGGGGAGCAAACAGGAUUAGAUACCCUGGUAGUCCACGCCGUAAACGAUGAGUGCUAAGUGUUAGAGGGUUUCCGCCCUUUAGUGCUGCAGCUAACGCAUUAAGCACUCCGCCUGGGGAGUACGGUCGCAAGACUGAAACUCAAAGGAAUUGACGGGGGCCCGCACAAGCGGUGGAGCAUGUGGUUUAAUUUCGAAGCAACGCGAAAAACCUUACCAGGUCUUGACAUCCUCUGACAACUCUAGAGAUAGAGCGUUCCUCUUUCU